CUGACAGAUGACUUCAGGAACAAAAUGUGAUCUUUGUGAACCAGGGCAUCUCUCAGAGCCUUGAAAAGGAAGUCCUGUCACUUGCCACCUUGCAGACGAGCCCUGAAGACAUGUGCAGUGAAACAGGCCAUCCACGAAGAACACACACAGGAUGGCUCUGCCCAUCUGAGCCACCUAGCAGUCAGGCAGCAAGUUUCCACCCAACCACCCGAUUGCAUGAGACAAAGAGGUACUCCAAGGACGGAAAACGACGACCCACAGAAAAACACUCCAAAAUGUUCACUUUAAUCAUUUCCAGGUGAGUUCUUACUUUUUCAUUAUGUUUUUCUGGAUUUCCAAAGAGUGCGUAUUUGUUUCAUAAUAAUGUAAGCAACAGACUGCUUCUGAGCAGCUUUUGCUGGUGAUGGCAGCAGAGCUGAGGGUGAUGACAAAUGGGGAGUGUGGACUGAGAUGGUGCCCACCCAGCCUUGGGACAACUUGGGACAAGUUCCUGAUGGGCCCUGAGGGGUCCCUCAUCCUGGGGAUGGGCGGGAAUCAGACCCAACCAAUCCUGGGGAGGUGGCACCCCAGCACCAAUUCCAGGGACCCUCACAAGGGUGUGAGAGGCCAGGAUUCCACCCGUGGGCAGGUACCUAGCUCUGGCCUGGACACGGUGGGACAAUAAGAGCAGGAAAAGGAAUUUAACCCUUCUUAAGCAGUGGGCACAACCAUCAGUCAUAUUUCAAGUAUCUCAUUUAUUCUUCCAUGCUGCUGGUCAAAGGAGGAGUCAACUCUGCAGACCACAGUUUCUCUGGGGAGGGGCAGGGCUAUAAAGAUUUUUUUUUAACUGCAAAAUCAAUACAUGCUUAUUAUUAAAAAUAAAGAAAAUAGGGCCGAGGAUUUAGCUCAGUGGUGCUGCCGCCUGGCUCACAAGUGCAAGGUCCUGAGUUCGAUCCCUGGUACCAAAAAAAAUAAAGAAAGAAAAAUAAAGAAAACUAAUAAUUUCUAUGGCUAAAAUGAAAGCAUCCUAUUUCUCCAUAUCACACCAUCCCAUCUAUUCCUACAGGAAGCCGCUGGUAACAGAUGAGGGCUGAUCCACCGGCCCUGGCCUGUGUUUGUGCAGAGUAGACAAAGACGGGUGCCGAGUGUGUGGACACACAGACAUCAAGGUUUGGGACCCCAGGCUGGAGAGUUGUUCUAGAUCUCUGCCUCCCUGCCCCCUCGCCGUUUUGGAAUCCCAUCAGGCCAGCCUAAAGAACAGUGUGACAUCCCAGCCUCCGCCCAUAAUGCCUUGCUGUGUCCCCUUAGGACUUUUCUCACCAUGGCACUGAGCACCAUCUGACAUCCCAUAUGGUGCCUUUAAAAAAAAAAAUCUGUCUCUCCUCGUAAGAACCUACAUCCAUGGCAUAGGGAAUUCGUCCACUGCUCUAUCCUAGCACCUAUAACAGUGCCUGGCACACAGUUGGCCUCAAAUACACAUUCAUUGAAAGAAAGAAAUGGAGACAGCAAGGGAGGGAAGAGCACACUGCUAACACAAUGUGUAUUCCCCCCUUAACACACGGUAGACAUCUUUCAUCUUUACCUCUUAAUGUGAAAAGCUCCAAAGUAAUCCUGUGCAUGGAGAUACUUGACCUAUUCCUCCAUCAUGAAACUGUGCAGGCAAAAGGUGUGGAGGGAGGUGCUCUCUCUCACACACACACACGCACACACACGCACACACACGCACACACACGCACACACACCACCAAGGCUCUCAGCAAUAACUUUUCUUGGAUUUCAGGCUAUGACAUCAACUCCUCACGGAUCAGAGCAUGAAAAGUUACCCUCUAGAGACAAAUGGCCUGCAGACUUGUUUGGACAUCAAGGAGACCCCGCUGGAGGUAUUAACAGAUCUCAAGAAAAUACAUGUCCUUCAGAUGCCAAGAGUUGGUGAGCAAGGUGUCAGUGGAACAAAGCGUGGGGCCCACAGAGCAGAGCCGGGGAGACAGUGGCCUGCCCUUGUCGGGCCCACCUGGCAGAUGGUUCCCUGUGGGUGCAAUGGCCUCACAGCCCGGGGCCUUAUCUCUCCCACUGGUCCCAGCUCACUUGGCCAAAGCUGAGUCCACUCAGCACUCAAGGAGACUUCCUGCAGGCCAGCAGGUGAAGGCCAUCCAGCCAACAGUCCAUUUCUCAUGGGGAGAGUGAGCUGACCAGUUCUGUCACCUCACCGGAGACGGAGAUUUGGGGCAGCCAGCGGAGAGCCAGGCGGUGGCCCAGGGGGUGCUCCCUGAGGAAACCACCCGAUCACCACGCGGGCAGCUGCUCACCUUCUUCACACUCUCGUAAGAAAUGUCCACUGUGUAAUGAGCCCUUACUCUGUACCAGGCCCUGAGCUGUAGGAUCAAUAGCUGUGACCAGAUUUCAUCCACACAGCCUGCUUACAGACAUGGAUGGCACAGAAGAUUGAGGACCCACAGCUCAAGACCCAAGGUCAAGAUCUGAACCCAAGCCCGCUUGACUCCAGGGCAAAUCCCCCCAGUGGGGCCCCAGAUGCUCUGCACAGCAUCACCUGGGAUUCCUGCUUUAAAAAGCAGAGCCCAGGAACCCACCCAAGGCUUACUGAGCAGGAUUAUCUGGAGGUGGGUCCCAGGGAUCUGUGCUUCUUUUCCAAUAUUUUCUAUGGUGGUAAAAUACACAAAACAAAAUUUGCUAUCUUAGCUAUGCUAAGCAUAUCCUGAAGUACUCGGUGCUAUUAAGUGUACUCAGGUUGCUGUGUAACCAUCACCAGCAACCAUCUCCAGGACUCUUAUCCAUGAAACUACAACUCCCAUUCCCCUCCCCUCAGCCCUGGCAACCAGCAACCACCACUUCCUGUCUCUGUGAGUACUGCAGGGACCUCGUGCAAGUGGAAUCAAACAGCAUUGUGCAGGCGUGUGUGUGUGUCUGCACGCGUGUGCACAUGUGGGUGUUUGGCUUAUUUCAUUUACCAUAAUGUCUUCAAGGUUCAUCUGUGCUGUGGGAAAUAUCAGAAUAUCCGCCCCUUUUAAGAUGAACAGUAUGCGUUACAAUUACACACCGCUUCUCCUUACUCGUUCAUCCAUCCCUGGACACCUGAUUGUCUGCAUGUGUGAGCUGUGAGAAGAAUGCCACUAUGUACGUGUGUACACAGAAACACCCGCAAGACUCAGUCCUCGGUUUUUUACAUGUAUAUCCAGGAAUGAAAUUGCUGGAUCACGUGGUGAUCCUAUUUUCAAUUUUUCAAGGAAUUGUCAUGCUAUUUUCCAUAGUGACUAUACCAUUUUACAUUCCCACUAAGAGCACACAAGAAUUCCAAUUUCUCCACCUUCUUGUCAACAUGUUCUUUUCCAUUUUUGUUUUGUUUUGUUUUUGUUGUUGUUUUUGUUUUUGGUACCAGGGAUCGAACUUGGGUCCUAGCGCUUGCAGGGCAGGCAGCAGAACCACUGAACUAAAUCCCCUGCCCAUUUUCCAUUUUUUAAAUAGUACUCAGCCUAAUAGGUGUGUGGUGGCAUCUCAUUAUGGUUUUGGUUUGCAUUUCCCUAAUGAUUAGUGAUGUUGAAAUCUUUUCAUGUAGUUCUUGGCCAUUUAUUUGUGUAUCUUCUUUGGAAAAAUAUCUACUCAAGUUCUUGGUCCAUUUUACAAUCAGGUUGUUUUGCUGUUUCAGCUUUUGCAGUUCUCUGUAUGUUCUAGAUAUAAAUCCCUUAUCAGACACAUGAUUUUUGAGUAGUUUCUUUCAUUCCCUGGGUUGCUUUUUAAUUCUGUCGAUAUUGCUUUGAUUGUUUGUCUUUGUUUUGCUUCCAGAACAAGGUCUCACUAUGUUCCCCAAGUAAUCUCAAACUCACAGGCUUAAAUAAUCCUCUCGCUUCAACCUCCCAAGCAGUUAGGAAAUAUAGGCAUUUUGAUACUAUCUUUUAAUGCAUUUCAAAUUUUUUCAUAAAGUUCAGUUUUUUGUUUUCUUUUGUUGCCCGUGCCUUUGGUGUUGUAUCCAAGAAACUAUUGCUAAAUCCAGUGUCAAGAAGCUUUUCCCCUGUUUUCUUCUAAGAGUUUUAUAGUUUAG
ensembl:lncRNA